GCCCGAAGUGCAGGCAACGGUUUCUUCCACUGGUUAAUGGAGAGGUCGCAGGUUCGAAUCCUGUCACCGGGCC
rnacentral:tRNA from 1 species